rnacentral:rRNA from 1 species
GACGAACGCUGGCGGCGUGCUUAACACAUGCAAGUCGAACGGAAAGGCCCUGCUUUUGUGGGGUGCUCGAGUGGCGAACGGGUGAGUAACGCGUGAGUAACCUGCCCUUGACUUUGGGAUAACUUCAGGAAACUGGGGCUAAUACCGGAUAGGAGCUCCUGCUGCAUGGUGGGGGUUGGAAAGUUUCGGCGGUUGGGGAUGGACUCGCGGCUUAUCAGCUUGUUGGUGGGGUAGUGGCUUACCAAGGCUUUGACGGGUAGCCGGCCUGAGAGGGUGACCGGCCACAUUGGGACUGAGAUACGGCCCAGACUCCUACGGGAGGCAGCAGUGGGGAAUAUUGCACAAUGGGCGGAAGCCCGAUGCAGCAACGCCGCGUGCGGGAUGACGGCCUUCGGGUUGUAAACCGCUUUCGCCUGUGACGAAGCGUGAGUGACGGUAAUGGGUAAAGAAGCACCGGCUAACUACGUG